UACAGAGGGGGCCAGCGUUAUUCGGAAUUAUUGGGCGUAAAGGGCGCGUAGGCGGCCCGCUAAGUCGAACGUGAAAUCCCUGGGCUCAACCCAGGAACUGCGUCCGAUACUGGCGGGCUUGAAUCCGGGAGAGGGAUGUGGAAUUCCAGGUGUAGCGGUGAAAUGCGUAGAUAUCUGGAGGAACACCGGUGGCGAAGGCGGCAUCCUGGACCGAGAUUGACGCUGAUGCGCGAAAGCCAGGGGAGCAAACGGG
rnacentral:rRNA from 1 species